UAAGACGCGCUGCAUUCUGGGAAGAGUUACGGAAGCGGGGUUGGGCGUCCGCUGGCUGUUACCAGGGCAACCGGAGGCGGUUGACAGUUAUCCGCGGGUUGGAGUGGUUAGCUGGAGAGGCUGAGAUGCUCAGAGGUCGUUUGGGAUGAGCGAAGCGGGCAAGAGGGCCCUUUUAAAGAGCAGAUUCUCCUGUCAGGAGGUUAUCCAGUUGUGCCCCGCAGGAGCGCCUGCCCGGGGGAUCUGGGUCAUGCCGUCUGGUUCGUCUUUGAGCAUUCCGACGAGAUGAAAUGUGGCCCAGAGUAGCUCCUGUCACUUCUCUAGCUUUCUGCCUACUUUUAGAAAAUUGAGUUGAAGAGACAGAGAUGAAGUGGACGCAGCAUGUGAAGACAAUUCUUUUAAGAAGUUUGGCUGUAAAGGAGAAAAAAAAGUGCCAUCGAGUUAAUUCUGACUCCUAGUGACCCUGUGGACAGCAGAGCGGAACCCUGCCCGGUCUUUCUGCGCCAUCCUCUCACCUUCUGGUGUUACAUCAGACAAUGCUCUGCUGCUAUUCAUAGGGUUUUCAUGGCCAGUUUUUUUCAGAAGCGAGUGGCCAGGACCUUCUUCCUAGUCUGUCUUAGUCUGGAAACUCUACUGAAACCUGUCCACCAUGGGUGACCCGCUGGUAUUUGAAAUCCCGAUGGCAUAGCUUUCAGCAUCACAGCAACAAGCAGCCACCACAGCAUGACAACCGACAGUCAGGUGGUGUGGUCCCCUGACUGGGCAGUGACCAGGGCCUCGGCGGUGAGAGCGCCAGAUCUUAACCACAAGACCACCAGGGCUGGCUUAAAAAUUAUCACAAGGAGAAAAAAACAAACAAACACAACCUGCCCCCCCCCCAACACACACACACCCCUGUAAUUGAUGUUGAAGCAGGAACCCGAGAACAUAUUUGCAACAUAUAUCACAAAAACUGUAUGUCCUUACUAUACAAAGAGCUCUAACACUCACUAAAAAGGUCCAGCACCCUAACAGACAAACCUGGCGAGGAACAUGAACAAGCAAAUAGCACGCUACAAAUGGCUGAGCAUGUGGAAAUACUUUUGUUCUUGUUAGUGAAGAAAUACAAAUAAUGGCAACAAUGAGAUAUGUUUUCAUUGGAUUAGCAAAACUACAAAGGUUGGUGUUGGCAGAGAUAGGAGAUAGGGUACUGUCAGAGUAUAAAUCAGUUAGGCCGUUCCAAGUGCAGUGUGGCAACAUGUAUCAAAAUGUGAAAGAUGCAAACCUUUGAAUCAACAGUGAUGCUUCUAGGAAUGUGUCCAAAGGUGAUAAUCAGACAAAUCAGAAAAGACGCAUGUGCAACAAUGUUCAUUACAGUAGUUGUUAAAAAUUGGAAACAACUUAAAGGCUUAUAAAUAAGAGACUAAAUGUAAUUUUGAGCAAAAAAUAGCUUGUUACAAAACAUCGUGAGAAAUGUGAUCCUGUUUAUAUAAAUUACGUGUAAGUACACAUAGAAGUAAUGUUUAACAAAAUGUUAGUAAUGGAAAUCUCUGGUGGGAUUUCAGAUGAGUUUCAAGCUUGUGAAAAAGUGAGAAAAUGGUAUGAACUACUGUGUACCCCACUCAGCUACAAUGCAUGCCCAGUCUUGUUUCAUCUAUGGUCCCACCCCAGUUUUUGAGGCAAAUCUAAGACAGCUUAUCUGUAGAUAGUUUGUGUACCUCUAAAAGAUAAGGAUGCUUUUAAAACAUAAUCUCAAUAUCAUCAUACCUAAAAAACUUCUAACAAUUCCUUCAUAAAAUCAAUUAUAUCUGAUCAGUGUUCACAUUUUUGUCUUAUACAUUGUUUUGUAGUUAGAUCGAGGUCCAUACAUUACCAUUCGUCUGUGUAUUUCCUAAUGUAUAGAUUCUCUCUCUCUCUCUCCCUGUUUUUCCCCCCUGCAAUUUAUUUGGGGAAGUAACUGUGUUGUUUGAGCUAAAGAGGAGUUUUGAGAGUAGGCCUGACCCUAAUAUUUACAGACCUGGGACCAUAGUGCAAAUGGAGCCCCAAAUACCAUAUAUCUAACUAUUUAAAUGCCUCAGCUCCAGCUAACAGUUCUGUACGUUCUACACUCCUACCUUGACAAACAAACCCUCUUAACGACCUGGAAAGCCAAGUUAGAAUUUAGAAUUCUCAGACUUCUUAGAAUUCCUCACUGGAUUGUGCUUCACCGGGGAGCUGGCACUUGGCCCACAGGCUGUCCCAUUCUCUUCCCACCUCUGGCUCCAUACCCUUCUCAAGGACACCCCAGCCCACAAGUCCAAGUUCAAUCUACACCCUGUGCAAACAGGUACCGCUGGAGGCACAGUCCCGCCUUGGAAGGAUGAACCAAAGACCAGGCCCAUGCAGGCUCUGAAAGUAGGCGUGGGGCGUAUAGACUGGGAAGUUCAGGUUCUACGGAGCCAGAGCAUGGUCUGGAAGGGGAGGCGUCAACUCUAGUUGUGGCAGCCAGCUUGGAAUCAUGAAAGAAGCCAACCUCAGAGGAAAAGCCAACAUGCUGAGGAUGACAGAACAGAAAGAUGGAAGGAGGCUGGGUCCCUGACGAGGUCACUGAGGACACACCCUAGCUCCAGACUAUUGUGAUAGCUCCAGACUAUUGUGAUACAAGACAAUAAAUGUUUAAACAACUCUGA